rnacentral:rRNA from 1 species
CCCUUUGAUGUCCUGGGCCGCACGCGCGUUACACUGAUGCAUUCAACGAGCUUAUAACCUUGGCCGAGAGGCCUGGGCAAUCUUGUUAACGUGCAUCGUGAUAGGGAUAGAUUAUUGAAAUUAUUAAUCUUGAACGAGGAAUUCCUAGUAAACGCAGAUCAUCAAUCUGCAUUGAUUACGUCCCUGCCCUUUGUACACACCGCCCGUCGCACCUACCGAUUGGAUGGUCCGGUGAAGCCUCGGGAUUGUGGUUCUUGCCGCUUUAUUGUGGCGUGACCGCGAGAACUUGUCUAAACCUUAUCAUCUAGAGGAAGGUGAAGUCGUAACA